rnacentral:rRNA from 1 species
GACGAACGCUGGCGGCGUGCUUAACACAUGCAAGUCGAACGGAAAGGCCCUGCUUUUGUGGGGUGCUCGAGUGGCGAACGGGUGAGUAACACGUGAGUAACCUGCCCUUGACUUUGGGAUAACUUCAGGAAAAUGGGGCUAAUACCCGAUAUGAGCUCCUGCUGCAUGGGGGGGGAUGGAAAGUUUCGGCGGUUGGGGAUGGACUCGCGGCUUAUCAGCUUGUUGGUGGGGUAGUGGCUUACCAAGGCUUUGACGGGUAGCCGGCCUGAGAGGGUGACCGGCCACAUUGGGACUGAGAUACGGCCCAGACUCCUACGGGAGGCAGCAGUGGGGAAUAUUGCACAAUGGGCGGAAGCCUGAUGCAGCAACGCCGCGUGCGGGAUGACGGCCUUCGGGUUGUAAACCGCUUUCGCCUGUGACGAAGCGUGAGUGACGGUAAUGGGUAAAGAAGCACCGGCUAACUACGUG